rnacentral:rRNA from 1 species
AGUGGCGGACGGGUGAGUAUGCGUGAGAAUCUGCCUUGGGGUCGGGGACAACCACUGGAAACGGUGGCUAAUACCGGAUAAGCCGAUUGGUGAAAGAUUUAUUGCCCGAAGAGGAGCUCGCGUCUGAUUAGCUAGUUGGUGAGGUAAGAGCUCACCAAGGCAGCGAUCAGUAGCUGGUCUGAGAGGACGAUCAGCCACACUGGGACUGAGACACGGCCCAGACUCCUACGGGAGGCAGCAGUGGGGAAUUUUCCGCAAUGGGCGAAAGCCUGACGGAGCAAGACCGCGUGAGGGAGGAAGGCUCUUGGGUUGUAAACCUCUUUUCUCAGGGAAGAAGCUCUGACGGUACCUGAGGAAUCAGCCUCGGCUAACUCCGUGCCAGCAGCCGCGGUAAUACGGAGGAGGCAAGCGUUAUCCGGAAUUAUUGGGCGUAAAGCGUCCGCAGGUGGCGAUUCAAGUCUGCUGUCAAAGCACGGGGCUUAACUCCGUAAAGGCAGUGGAAACUGAAUAGCUAGAGUGCCGUAGGGGUAGAGGGAAUUCCCGGUGUAGCGGUGAAAUGCGUAGAGAUCGGGAAGAACAUCGGUGGCGAAAGCGCUCUACUGGACGGCAACUGACACUCAGGGACGAAAGCUAGGGGAGCGAAUGGGAUUAGAUACCCC